GGUAGUUUGGCCGAGGGCCCAGGCGGCGGAUUGUAGCUCCGAUAACAGAGGUUUAAGUCCUCUUUCUACCA
rnacentral:tRNA from 2 species